rnacentral:misc_RNA from 1 species
UGGUUCUGGCAUCGAUGAAGAACGCAGCGAAAUGCGAUAAGUAAUGUGAAUUGCAGAAUUCAGUGAAUCAUCGAAUCUUUGAACGCACAUUGCGCCCCCUGGCAUUCCGGGGGGCAUGCCCGUUCGAGCGUCAUUUCACCCACUCAAGCCUGGCUUGGUGUUGGGCGUCGGGUACUCCCCGUGCCUCUAUUCAAUCUGCGGCUGGACGGUUGAAAUCUCAGCGUUGUGGAUCACUCUCGCUCGGAUGGACGAUCGGACGCGCCGUUAAAAAAACCUCUUACUCAGGUUGACCUCGGAUCGGGUAGGGAUACCCGCUGA